rnacentral:rRNA from 1 species
UACGUAGGGGGCGAGCGUUGUCCGGAAUCAUUGGGCGUAAAGAGCUCGUAGGCGGUCUGUUGCGUCGGCUGUGAAAACCCGGGGCUCAACCCCGGGCCUGCAGCCGAUACGGGCAGACUAGAGUUCGGCAGGGGAGACUGGAAUUCCUGGUGUAGCGGUGAAAUGCGCAGAUAUCAGGAGGAACACCGGUGGCGAAGGCGGGUCUCUGGGCCGAUACUGACGCUGAGGAGCGAAAGCGUGGGGAGCGAACAGG